rnacentral:tRNA from 1 species
GCCCUCGUGGUGUAGUGGUCAGCACACUCGAUGCGUAUUCUAGAGGUACGUGGUUCAAGUCCCGGUGAGGGCA